rnacentral:rRNA from 1 species
CCUACGGGAGGCUGCAGUGGGGAAUAUUGGACAAUGGGGGGAACCCUGAUCCAGCCAUGCCGCGUGUGUGAAGAAGGCCCUCGGGUUGUAAAGCACUUUCAGUGAGGAAGAACGCCUGGUGGUUAAUACCCAUCAGGAAAGACAUCACUCACAGAAGAAGCACCGGCUAACUCCGUGCCAGCAGCCGCGGUAAUACGGAGGGUGCGAGCGUUAAUCGGAAUUACUGGGCGUAAAGCGCGCGUAGGUGGCUUGAUAAGCCGGUUGUGAAAGCCCCGGGCUCAACCUGGGAACGGCAUCCGGAACUGUCAAGCUAGAGUGCAGGAGAGGAAGGUAGAAUUCCCGGUGUAGCGGUGAAAUGCGUAGAGAUCGGGAGGAAUACCAGUGGCGAAGGCGGCCUUCUGGACUGACACUGACACUGAGGUGCGAAAGCGUGGGUAGCAAACAGGAUUAGAUAACCCUGGUAGUC